rnacentral:rRNA from 1 species
GGGCCCGCACAAGCGGUGGAGCAUGUGGUUUAAUUCGACGCAACGCGAAGAACCUUACCAGCCCUUGACAUGGGCGUCGCGGAUCGCAGAGAUGCUUUCCUUCAGUUCGGCUGGACGCCACACAGGUGCUGCAUGGCUGUCGUCAGCUCGUGUCGUGAGAUGUUGGGUUAAGUCCCGCAACGAGCGCAACCCUCAUCCUUAGUUGCCAUCAGUUCGGCUGGGCACUCUAGGGAAACUGCCGGUGACAAGCCGGAGGAAGGUGGGGAUGACGUCAAGUCCUCAUGGCCCUUACGGGCUGGGCUACACACGUGCUACAAUGGCGAUGACAGAGGGAUGCAAGGGGGCGACCCUGAGCUAAUCUCCAAAAAUCGUCUCAGUUCGGAUUGUUCUCUGCAACUCGAGAGCAUGAAGGCGGAAUCGCUAGUAA